AGAGGAUUGUAUUUCAGCUCACAAAUGACAAUUCUGUUCACUGUCAGGGGUUUGUUUGGAUGAAGAUUGCAACAAAAACGAUGUUGCCUGAGCCCAGAUGAAGCCUUUGGAUGUCAGAAACAGGGAUUUGGGUCACUGAUGUGUUUAUGGUCUAGCUGAAAUCAAGGAGAUUUUGCUAUCAUAUAGAUCUGGCCCUGGAGAAGAGUGGCAUCAUUCAGCUUAUCCUUAGGACAAGGAGAGCUGGAAAUCUGAAUCGACCUUUUGAUCUCAACUCUUUUGUAGGAGCAGCUGUAGGCUGGAGACUGUCUCUGCAUCUCCUGAGCAGUGCACGUGAGGCUGGGUGUGUUGGAGGGUGAGGCACUGCCCUGCAGGAGAAGGAAGCUCCAGCUGAGGCACGAAACUUGUUCAAGGUGUCUUGCUGACCCCAGGACUGGCUGAUUGUCCGUGGCAUCACCUGCAGAGGGACAGCAGGACAUUUAUCCCAUGUCGCCCAGCAGAUUCUUGGAAAGGCUCAGGUCACUUUGUGCACUCAGUGACACAAACAGCGAUGAGCUCACGAAACACUGCACAUCAUAAAACACCUCCUUCAUCUCUGCACGGCUCUGCUUCCCCAGCCCUGGUACUUUUUCUAAAUGUCUAUUUAAUGUCAGCUUCAUUUGUUUUAAUUCACUCCAAUAUUGCAAACCAGCAGCAGCUGAAACACCUAUUUCUGCAAUUAGUGCAAUCUUGCUCCUGCAUGAUAAUCUUUUCUCCAAGCUGCUGCCAGCUCUGAGAAGUGCACUUAGAAGAGAACUGGCUCUCAGUUUGACUUCAGGGUAACUGGAAGUGAUGUAACUUUCAGGAGAAAAUACUGGUCCAAAAAUACCAGGUAAUUUAAUUUUUGGGUGAAGGGACAGACAGUAGAAUUCCAGAUUUCUCCUUUUCUGCGCUGAAAUUGGAGGUUUAAUGCAGUAUUCAGUAAUAAAAAGCUGUCUCUUCAUCACAGGGCUUUGUUCUGUCACUGUGCCAUGCUGACCCAGUGCUUCUCCUGUGAAUUUAGGAGUUAUGGUCAAGCUCUUAGCUGACCUCACCAAACCUUUGUAGCUUCUCCAGACUGAGAAGACUGCUCCAGGAAAGAGCUUGUGUAUCCUGUAGGGAAGGGCAAUCUUUGCAAAGAAAGGUCUUCUCUGGGUUUUAUGUUCCCAGCACAACUCUGACACUGAUAUCUCUUCUGAGGGUCUGAUGAAUGCUCACUGAUUUAUUUGGAAGCUCCCACAGUGACUUUGCCCAUGGAGCCAGGUCUGCAGCUCACCAGACUCCUUCCACAGGACCUAGAGAGGGCUUUUGGUGUUAUCAGCCUCAGGCAGUGCAGAGCAGCACAAAACCAGCCUGGAAGAAUCCAGCUGGAAUUCCAAAGAAUUUGUGCCAGCUAAAAACCCAGGAUUAUUUCACAGACCAGGACAUGUGGCUGUGGUGCUUCCAGAAGAAACAAGAGCUUGUGUGUCACUACAGCAUCACUCAGUGCCUGGCCAGCCCUGGCACGGUGACACACCUGGUGGAUUGGUCACAUCCUCUCUCCUGCAGUGUGGGAGCUUUGCUGGCUGGGUUCAGAGUUGUCACAGGCACAUAAACAAGAUUCAGCACCUCGUGUCAGUCCAACACCAGUGACCAUACUGUCAUGGAGGAGCUCUGGCACCAGGAGAGGGCACCACAAGUCCUGACUCUGUCCCAGUGUGGCCCAGGGGUGGAAUUUCCUACAAUCCAACCCUUUCUGGUCCUUCAUCCCCAUGUCCAGCAGCACCUCAUGAUCUGACUCCGAAUUGUCGGGGUUUUACCCAAAAGAUCUUGCAGCAUCCAGAGCGAGUUAGACUUUCCUGCAGCUAUCACUGAGUGGACAAAGCUCCUCCAGAGCUGCCAUUCCAGGCUGGCAUUACCCAGAGCAUUGAUUAGCAGCUUCAGCAGAGAGCUGGAGAGCUCCUUGAGAGGAGGGAACUGCAGACAAUCCCGCUCCUCCACAAAGGUGUGAGCUUCAUUAGCGAAACAGCGCCCGGGAAUUUGCCUUUCCUCUUUUCCCCUGCCGAGGCUGUGUGAAUUGGCUUGUGAUGGUUUUGUUCUCUGCUGAAAUCUUGCAGUCUGAUUUACAGCCUUUGAACAGGCUGAGGCAAACUGUGCAGCUGAAUAAAGAGGGAGGGAGCAGCGAGUGCACCAAGGGCGCUGGGGAGAAGCAGAGAGGAGCUGCUCCAUGGAUGGACUGCAGAGAAGGUGGGGUAGAAAGCCCUCAGAGAGAUUAAUCAUCUCUUUUGCCCUUUUUGCAAUCAGACACAUUUUCCUGGCCUGCUCACACGAGUCCAUGUGUCUGCCAGCUGCCUCUUGCAAGCUCUGAAAGAAGUCAUUGAGUUUCUCUGAGAAAACUGCCUUGGCUCACGGGCUCAGAACAUCAGACUGACUCCACACAGGGCUGGAGCUCCAAAAAACCACUCUGAUCUGCCAAACAAGGAACUGGAAGGAUGCAUAUUACCCCAGAUGAAAUAACACACUUGGAAUUAUUAUCCCCAGCCUUACAGCACUGAGAGUUUUUGAAUUUCCUCAGGUCCUUCAAAUCACCACUGUCUUCCUGACAUGGUUUAUGUUUUCAGGUCUUUGAUCCUGCAGCUUCAGGAAAUGAAUGAAAUGGAAUUUAAGAAAAUGAAAUGGAGAAACAUAAGGAAUGUCUUCACAAAAUUUGCACCAGGGAAAAUGGGGUAUUUCCUCAGGCAAAACCUCUGCUAUUCAUUCAGCAGGGUGAUGCUGCACAUGCCUACAGGUGGGUACAGGAAUUCACACCAGCAGGCUGUCCUGUGGAUAUGGCCAUCCUAGGAAAGCCUCUGUGAGAGUGAUUUUGGCUCUCUGUGCUUAUUUAAUCUAUCUCCAAAAUAACAUCCUCAUCUUUAUUCAGCUUUGAGGCUGCACAGAGGGAUUCCCUCUCUACCUGCCCUCCUUGCACAUCCAGGAUUCAGCAGCCUUUGGACAGCCUGUUUCCAUAACAACAGAGGAGGAAAAACCUGAGAAAUACUGGGUAACUGCACGCAGUUGGAGUGGCCUCCAGAGGGGCACCAGGCUCCUGAGCCCCCCCAGGCUGGGAGGAGACCCCAGAGAAUUCCCUUCUCCCACCUCCCUUGAGGGAAACUUCAACUCUGUCGAGGUGGGAACCGGAAUGAGCAGCUCAGCUCUGACCCUCACACAGGGGCUGAUGCCUUUGAGCUCCAUCAGUUAAUUUUUAACCAUUAUCCUCCUGCUGUGCAUCCUCUCUGCCUCCUCUUCUCCAGGGCAAUAAUAGACUCAAUGCCCCCCUGUGCAGGCUCUCCAGGCACCCCCUGCUCCCUGGGCACCCUGAGCUGUGUUUAAAGAGCACCCAGAAGUUGUGUGGGAGCCCCAAGGACAAACCUCCCUGGCCAGUGAGACCUUCUGAGUGCCAAGGGCAUCGUGGAACCACAGAACAGAAUCACAGCAUGCUGCUUGUGAUAAACACAACUCCCUGUCCCAUUUUACAUUUCAAUGUGGAACAUUAAAAAUGUGUUUCAGCAUAGGUUUUUUGCAGGAGAAAUUUUGUGGAAUUUACGCCAGUUGACCUUGACAGGAAGAAAAAAAAAAAAAUUACAAAGGAUUUUAUUCAGCAGUUGGUGAGCAAUAGGUCUCAUCCACAUCACUGCAAAAACACCACUGUGCUCAUGGAUUGUCCAGGCAAAGGCUCCACUCUCCAAAUCCCACCUCCACACUGGGCAGGGAUCACAGCAACUGCAGGACCUCUCUGCUGAGGUUUUGUCCAGUGAGUAGCAGCUUUUGUUCAGGAAUAGGAAAUCUUUAUUCCUGGGCCCCUUUAAUCUCUUCCACAAACAAAUGAGAUCGAUGCCGUUGUCCUGACGUGAGUCACGGCUCCAUUUCUCUAAAUAUUGCAGCUUCCUCCUCCUGGGCUUCGUGCCAGUUCUUGCAGGGACCAAAGAUGUGUUUCACACAGCUGUUUUUGUGAGGUGCACUCACUUGUCCUGAUAAAUAUCCUCAUUUCCUCUGCAUGGCAGAGCCCUGGACAGGGGCUGCUCUCCCAUCCUUCCCUGGGAGGACGGGGAGGAUCUGGAGGGUGCCCAGAGAAGUUGUGGCUGUCCCUGGAUCCCUGGAAAUGUCAAAGGCCUGGUUAGACAGGGCUUGGAGCACCCUGGGAUAGAGAAAAGUGUCCCUGCCCAUGGACUGGAUGAGCUCUAAGUACUUCCCAACCCAAACCACUCUGGGAUUCUGUGGAAAAUCAGGAAUACUCUGUUGUGGCAUCACUGGAGCUCAAACCAUCCUUCCACAAAUUCUGUGACAAAAGUGAGGUCCAGUUUUGCCCCAGCUUGGCUCAAGGGAAUCUUCAAUUCUUCUGUUUCUUCAAUUCUUUUCUGCUGGAUGAAACGUUCUCCAGAGCUCGGUCUGUCUGUCCUGAAGCAGAGUACAAACUUGUGUGGAGCUUGCUGGUCCAGCUGGGAAUUAAACCUAAAUCCCCAUCCCCAGGCUGAGCUCUCAUCUCCUGCUGUGCCUGUUUUUCAAGGAAAAGAGACCACGACCUCCUUUUUUGAUGGAAACAUAUGGAAAUAUGUGCUUGGCCAUAGGAUACACGAGUCAGCCCACUCUGUGAAUUGUUUUCCAUCCUGAUCUUUGGACCUGAACCUCUGGAUGAGCCCCUUGCCUAAAUGAUCUUUCAGAUGCACUGCGGUGCUCCUGCUCUUAAAUGUUGUGGAGUUGUUUGGUUUUUUUGGAUUUAUUUGCUUUCAACCUAGAUCUUGCUGCUUUCUUUCAGAAGGACUGUAGGAAACCAACUGGAAAAUAAGAACCAAAUAUUUCCCUGAAUUUGAGCCUAAAUCUCUUGGUGUUUGCACAGCAGACAGGCAGCUCGCUGUAUUUUGGUGUCAGAUUUGUUAUUACAGAUUAGAUCAAUUGUCUGGCUGCAGUAGCAAGUCCCCCCCACCUUGUAAUGCACUUAGUCAGUUGUGAAAUCAUGGACUCAGUGGUGGGAAAACCAGAAAAUUCUCCAUAACCCCUCCAAGCAAUCAAUUUAUGCCCUGAAGCAUGAGAUUUGAUUACCAUUGUUAUUAUCUUAGCUUGCAUAGUUACAAAUGUUAUUAGCAGUCAUAAAAUUAUCCAGCCUUAAAAAAAAUCAGAUUAGAAAAAAAAAAAAAAUCCCAACAUUUCAGUCCAGGUUCUUCAAAGCCUGAAUUCCUGGGAUUGCUUUGAACUGUGAAAAAUGGUAAUUCCUUUAAUUCUCUUUAAAUUUGGUGUCCUUUGAUCACGUGGAUUUCUCCUGGACUCUCAUA